UACCUACUAGCUAGCCUACCCACCCACAUACAACAACCGACUUAAUACCCCCUAAUAGGCAACUUAAGACUAAUUAAAACAUUUUCCCUCCCCAGUACAGGAGAUGAAAACGGACCCA
rnacentral:rRNA from 1 species